CAUUACUCAGGACCCUGUCUUUUCUGGUGUUUUGCNGUCAUCUGACAUACCACCUUGGAAUGCAAAGAACCACAGAUCUCAGAAAUCCACAGAUCUCAGGGAAUAAAUUCUUCCAAGUUUCAAGCAAGUAGGCCCUUGCAUCAUUCGAAGAGCUUUCUACCCAGCAGCCCUCUCCAGUUACUUGUGACAAUAUGACUUUGAGGGACUUUUGGAAGGCCAGUCAUCUGACAUACCACCUUGGAAUGCAGAGAUCCACAGAUCUCAGGUAAGUGGAAAGAUCUUGACUAAAGCUUCCUAUUCCAUCUGAGCAAAACCUACAUGUUUGGGCUUUCAAUUCUGAGUCAGUCUGCCAUUUUGGAAUUCAGGAUUAAAAAAGCUAUGCAAGGUAGCAAACUCAGCAUGAUAUAGGCUAUGUUCUCCCAUGGAGACCCC